rnacentral:tRNA from 214 species
GGGUGCUUAGCUCAGCUGGUAGAGCGGCGCCCUUACAAGGCGUAGGUCGGGGGUUCGAACCCCUCAGCACCCACCA